GUGAGGAAUAUUGGUCAAUGGGCGGGAGCCUGAACCAGCCAAGUCGCGUGAAGGAAGAAGGAUCUAUGGUUCGUAAACUUCUUUUGCAGGGGAAUAAAGUGCGGGACGUGUCCUGUUUUGUAUGUACCCUGAGAAUAAGGAUCGGAUAACUCCGUGCCAGCAGCCGCGGUAAUACUGAGGAUCCGAGCGUUAUCCGGAUUUAUUGGGUUUAAAGGGUGCGUAGGUGGUUUGAUAAGUCAGCGGUGAAAGUUUGCAGCUUAACUGUAAAAAUGCCGUUGAAACUGUCGGACUUGAGUGUAAAUGAGGUAGGCGGAAUGCGUGGUGUAGCGGUGAAAUGCAUAGAUAUCACGCAGAACUCCGAUUGCGAAGGCAGCUUACUAAGCUACAACUGACACUGAAGCACGAAAGCGUGGGGAUCAAACAGGAUUAGAAACCCGGGUAGUCC
rnacentral:rRNA from 1 species